GACGAACGCUGGCGGCGUGCUUAACACAUGCAAGUCGAACGGGGAUAAUGAUUUCGGUUGUUAUCCUAGUAGCGGACGGGUGAGUAACGCGUGAGUAACCUACCUUUGUGAGGGGGACAACAGCUGGAAACGGCUGCUAAUACCGCAUAAGGCCACGACCUCGAGUGAGGAUGUGGUAAAAGAUUAUAUCGCACAGAGAUGGACUCGCGUCCCAUUAGCUAGUUGGUGAGGUAACGGCUCACCAAGGCGACGAUGGGUAGCCGACCUGAGAGGGGGAGCGGGCACACUGGAACUGAGACACGGUGCAGACUCCUACGGGAGGCAGCAGUGGGGAAUAUUGGGCAAUGGGCGCAAGCCUGACGCAGCAACGCCGCGUGAGGGAAGAAGGUCUUCGGAUUGUAAACCUCUGUCCGUGGGGACGAAGAAAAUGACGGUACCCAAGGAGGAAGCUCCGGCUAACUACGUGCCAGCCGCCGCUGUAAAAC
rnacentral:rRNA from 1 species